GGGUUUGAUCAUCCCUCAGAAAUGCAAAGCUGACUGUAUACUCAGCAGGGGAGGACAGCUCACGGUGGGUGUGGAGGAUGCAGGGAAAGGUGUGGACCUAAGUCUGCCCUUCGCCGAGCUGAGGCAUCCCUCUGUUUUGGAAACAGGCUGACCUCAGGCAUGGUCCACUUACUUCACAAGGCUCUGUGACACGCUGUGCUGGGCCAGAGGCACAGUGGGGCUUGGGGAACCAUCUGAAGUGAAUGGUUAGGCAGUAGAGGACCAGCUAUCCUACAGGUUCUAAGAAUCAGUGACCUUAGGAGACACUGGAAAUUAUUGGUAACACAGCAGAACUUGUCCAGAAGGAAGGCUCCCGUGUGGGUUUGAGGACAAUCUCUGAACCAAAAACUAGGCCCCUCCCUGCAGAGACUUUGAACAGGCUGUCAUUUAGAGCUUGCCCAGUGAGUCCUCCUGACAAGUGUGGCGGGUUCUUCAUUCUAAGCAUAUCCCACGGACUCAAACUUGAAAGCAGAAAACAUUGAAAUGCAUUAUGAUAAUGGUCUUCAUAAUAUUGAAUGGCAAACCCACUGCUGGACAAUCUCACAUUAAAGAAAAUCGCUUGGGAGAGGAGUCCAACAGUGAGUAGGAGGGACUCUACACAGAGCAAGUGGGUACAGGGGGCUCUCCAGUCCUGGACAAGCCAGGGCGCAGCGAACCGUCACCUGAUCGUCAAGGGCCACGGCCCUGCGUUUGCUCCCAGGGAACUGAGGUCGCUGAGCAGAGAUGGACUGUGGGGUCCAGAGGCUCAGGGACAGCCCUGCCCCGGAGUGGGCG
rnacentral:lncRNA from 1 species